rnacentral:rRNA from 1 species
AUUGAACGCUGGCGGCAGGCCUAACACAUGCAAGUCGAACGAGUGGCGGACGGGUGAGUAAUGUCUGGGAAACUGCCUGAUGGAGGGGGAUAACUACUGGAAACGGUAGCUAAUACCGCAUACAAUCAGAUGUGCCCAGAUGGGAUUAGCUAGUUGGUGGGGUAACGGCUCACAAAGGCUAAGAUCCCUAGCUGGUCUGAGAGGAUGAACCGCCCCACUGGACCUGAGCCCCGUUCCGGCAUCCUACGGUAUGCAGCAGUGGGUAAUAUUGCACAAUGGGCGCAAGCCUGAUGCAGCCAUGCCGCGUUUAUGAAGAAGGCCUUCUGGUUGUAAAGUACUUUCAGCGGGGAGGCGUUACCCGCAGAAGAAGCACCGGCUAACUCCGUGCCAGCAGCCGCGGUAAUAC